rnacentral:rRNA from 1 species
CUACGGGACGCUGCAGUGAGGAAUAUUGCACAAUGGGGGGAACCCUGAUGCAGCAACGCCGCGUGGAGGAUGACGCAUUUCGGUGUGUAAACUCCUUUUAUAUGUCAAGAAAAUGACGGUAGCAUAUGAAUAAGCACCGGCUAACUCCGUGCCAGCAGCCGCGGUAAUACGGAGGGUGCAAGCGUUACUCGGAAUCACUGGGCGUAAAGGACGCGUAGGCGGGCUUGUAAGUCAGGUGUGAAAUCCUACAGCUUAACUGUAGAACUGCACUUGAAACUACGAGCCUAGAGUAUGGGAGGGGGAGAUGGAAUUAGUGGUGUAGGGGUAAAAUCCGUAGAUAUCACUAGGAAUACCUAAAGCGAAGGCGAUCUCCUGGAACAUAACUGACGCUAAGGCGUGAAAGCGUGGGGAGCAAACAGGAUUAGAUACCCUCGUAGUC